rnacentral:misc_RNA from 1 species
GAAAUGCGAUAAGUAGUGUGAAUUGCAGAAUUCAGUGAAUCAUCGAAUCUUUGAACGCACAUUGCGCCCCUCGGUAUUCCGUGGGGCAUGCCUGUUCGAGCGUCAUCUACACCCUCAAGCUCUGCUUGGUGUUGGGCGUCUGUCCCGCCUCCUUCGCGCGCGGACUCGCCCCAAAUCCAUUGGCGGCGGCCCUUGCCUCCCUCUCGCGCAGCACAUUGCGCUUCUCGAGGCGCGGUGGACCGCGUCCAGCAAGCAACCGUCACACCGUCUUUGACCUCGGAUCAGGUAGGGAUACCCGCUGAACUUAAGC